rnacentral:rRNA from 1 species
UACGUAGGGCGCAAGCGUUGUCCGGAAUUAUUGGGCGUAAAGAGCUCGUAGGCGGUCCGUCACGUCGGAUGUGAAAUUCCAGGGCUCAACCCUGGACCUGCAUUCGAUACGGGCGGACUAGAGUUCGGUAGGGGAGACUGGAAUUCCUGGUGUAGCGGUGAAAUGCGCAGAUAUCAGGAGGAACACCGGUGGCGAAGGCGGGAUCCUGGGCCAGUACUGACGCUGAGGAGCGAAAGCGUGGGGAGCAAACAGG